AGUAUAUUGAAGAAAGUAUAGUUUUAUUUUUUUUUUUUAUAUUUGUUUAUUAGCUAUAGCAAAUGUUCAUAUUGCUUGCCUCCAACUGCAAUUCAAGACCUACAUAUUCUUAAAAACGAUCUGUGGAAGAAUCUGCUUGAGAUGAUGUUUGCAACAGCCUCCGUAAUUUUUUUGGCGUAGUUUUGAGUAGACUGUUUUUUGUUUUACGUGAAUAAGAUUCCAUCCGGAAAAAUUGAAUUUCCCAGUACACAUAAAUAAGGUAAUAUCUUCCUAACGUAGUCAAAAUUUUUUUGUCAAAAAUGGGCAAGAAUCUGUCAGGUCGGCCUUUAAUUUUUAUAUUUUAAUCGCAGUUAACAGAAAAUUAGUUUUUGUUUUAAUUUAUAAAAUGUCAUUUGAAAAAAUUAUAAAUUAAAAAAAUAAAAAUUUUCUUCGUGUUUCUUCUCAGAAAAUGGUCAAUAAUUGUAAAAAAAAAAAAAAUUAAUGGUGUGCGUGGUUUUUCGGUUUUUGUGCGUUUUUCCUCGGUAAUUUAAAACAAUUAAGAAUUACGGUAGCUGGCGACCAAUGUCAGUUUGGAAGAUAUUAACUUUUUAUGUGUACUGUGAUUGAAUUUAACUUUUUCCUUAUUAUGAGUUCCGAGCGAAAAAUUGUUCGCGUUCCGAUAUCUACCGGAGGUAGUCGACAGCUCUUUUCUCACUUAAAUUUUGGUGCCGAACAAGGAACUAGUUUAGCGGAAAUUCUCUUGAUGUGAAAUUCACGAUAGGUUUUUAGAUUCCGGGCGAACAAAAAUAUUCCGGGUUCCUCACAGGCUCUUUGAUAAUCGCAAUCAUCACGUGAAAUCCUAAUUUGUCUGUCUCCUCGAUGUCUUUUAACAUGAUGUGUAAAAAUGUCGUUUAAACCGUGCAUAGACAAACAGAAAAGAUGUCACGUUGUAUAAUUGGUCCAACCAGAAGUCCUUAAAUACCGCAUGAUGAGGAAGAUAGUACGGCUUGUAGGAAGAUUGGUAUAUUUCAGCAGCAGAAACUUCUUCCAUAUGACCUAACGACAAAAACCCAUCGAUAAACAUUAUAACUAUCAAGAAGUCUUUCAUGCGUUUUUUGAAAAAACUCUCCUGCACGAUGCUCAUGGAUUGAUACACGGAGAAAACUUACCACAUAGAAUUAAGCGGAUGGCACCUUAAUUUAAGAGGAUUUCUGCAUGGUUUUUUGCUAAGAUGACUUUCACAUUAAAUUAAGGUGACAUCACCUUAAAUUAAGGUGACAAGUCACAUUAAUUUCUUGAAUGCGUAAAUUAAAAACAAAAAAACUUUCAGCCACCGGGGAUCGAACCUACAACUGUUGGCUUACUAGGACAGUGCCUUACCACUGUGCUAUCUCAAUGUUGGAAAUGAAUGAACAUUCACAUUAAAAUAAAAUGAAGUUCACAUUAAAUUUAACUGAGUUUAAGUGGAAUCAGCUUAUUUUAAGCGGAUAUCACCUUAUUUUAAGGUUAUAUCAGAAUUUUCCACUAAAAAGAUAAAAUUGUUGUGAAUGAUCCAGCUGCUUACAUUAAGUCUUGAUACCUUUAUUAAAACUAGGAGAAUUUUGUGCAGUCUUUUCUGCAACAACGACCCAAAAACAGUUUUAGUAACCCCGGCGAUUGUGUUACUAGAUGGUUCGGUUAUAAUAUUGAAAACCUUACCUGCUAGAAGCUGGUUUAUUAAAAUAAAGAUCAGCGAGCUCAACAGACACAAGAUUUUCUAAAUCGAUAUUGUUCAGUAAAGACUCUGGCAACAACAAUGUAUAAUUCGAUAGAAUAUAACAAUCUACGUCAAAAUAAAAACUAUUGAACUAAAUCGAGAAAUAAGAAUAAGAAGGUUCGAUGGUGAAAAUAAAUCAAUAAAUUUAGUCAUUGAAGUAGUAAUAGAGAAUCUUUUAAAAAUCAAUAAUGCAGGCCUGAAUUAUUAUUCAUGUUGAAAGCGAUAGAAACUGAUGCUGAUGGUGACGAGAGGGUGCUACAAAAUACAACUGUAUUAAUAGCGAGGAUUCUGACAAAGGGGAUCUUUCUUCUUUAAUGCAAACUUUUAAAAAAAUUAUAACUCGUAAUAAAAAUCUCGUGAAUGGUUAUGGUUUUCAAAAUUUUAGUCUUGAGAUUUAUUCGCUUUAUCCAAAAAAAAAAAAAAAUAAAUUACAGACUAAAAUAAAAAUAAAUGAAAAUGUACAAUGUGUGUUCGUCCAAUACAAAUUGGAAAUUAUACUACGAAAAUAUGUUACGUUAGGGUGGUCGUUAUUUAAAAUAAAAUUGAAUUUGUAUGCUCCCAAAUAAAUAAAAAUAAAUUUUCCCCAAGAAUCAAGACUUUAUCCUAUUUCUAACCCGUGCCUCCAAGAAGUUGAAGUUUCUUAUGGAAACAACAUAAUAAAACAAAAUAAAUUCCAGCCAAACUAUUUGUUUUAAAAAUUUGAAACUUUAAAGACUUAAACCUUAUAGGUUGAAGUUAUCGUCUGUUUUUUUUCAGAUUUUUAGUUGUUAUAAUUUCGGAGAUUCAGCUUGGUAAAGAAACCCAUUUUUAUUUCAGAAAAUAAAAAGAAGAAAAACAGCAUUAGAUGAAUUAUUAAAAUUAAAAUUAAAUGAAAUUAUGUUUUAUAUCUUUCAGACGACAACGUUUAACUAGUUUUGAGCGGUGAAGAAAAUAUAAUAAAACAGAUAGUUUUUUGAAUCAAGAGAUUUGCUUUAAAGUGGCAUUCAAUCAUUAGCGCAUAUUUUUGCAUAUUUUGGUAUAAAUGCAUAUUCUGGCUUACUGACCAUAUUUUCACAAUAAAUGCAUAUUUUUCGAGCAUAUUUUAAGAAAAAUAAACUUUAAAAACCUUAAACUAAUUUCUCUGAAAAAGAAUACUGUUGAGAACUUGGCAGCACUAUGCACAAUUCCAGAUGACUUUCAUAAGUUCAAACUAUGGGUUUCUCAGUGAGACUAUAGUAAAACUAGAGGGUUAGAACUCGCUUAAUAAACAAGUAAGUUUGAUGGAGGAAGCAAUUUCGAAAAUAAAUGCAGUAGAGUCUUCAAUGGGUCAGUCCAUUUGUAAAAAAAUAGAAAAUGUUCUUAA